rnacentral:rRNA from 1 species
UACAGAGGUCCCAAGCGUUGUUCGGAUUCACUGGGCGUAAAGGGUGCGUAGGUGGUGAGGAAAGUCGGAUGUGAAAUCUCCGGGCUUAACCCGGAAAUGGCAUUGGAAACUACCUUGCUAGAGGUUUGGAGGGGGGACUGGAAUUCUCGGUGUAGCAGUGAAAUGCGUAGAUAUCGAGAGGAACACCAGUGGCGAAGGCGAGUCCCUGGAAAACACCUGACACUGAGGCACGAAAGCUAGGGGAGCAAACAGG